rnacentral:lncRNA from 1 species
GAAAACCGCUGCCAGGGAGACUUUUGAACUCCGCCGCUCGCUGUCUGGCUCUCCCCUCUCGGCCCGGUGCACCUCUCUCCACCCUCCCCCCUGCACCCUCCUGGCCGGCGCGCUCGCCAGCGCGCUCGCUCGCUCGCUCUCCCGCGACCCGACGAGUCCUCAACAAGUUGGAGGAAGGCAGGAACGGAGGGGUUAAGCUCGGAGAGCCGCAAUUACCAAGAUCGUGACCCUCCCACACAGUACAGUAACUUAUAUACUUACCUGGAAGAGCCCGCUCUGCCGCCGGGCCAACACCCGUGGGGGGCGGGGAAGGGCGGGAGGGGAGCGGGCCGGUUGGAGAGGGGCUCCUCCACGCUGGCUGCAGUGCGGACCGGACCGGCGCGCUCCAGGGACCUGGGGACCCAGGUAAUCAAAACUGCCCUGACACCUGGACGUCUGCAUGAGGGAUGGUCACAGAAGGAGGAAGUCUCAGAGGCCAUAGGAGCUAAAGAGUCUAUGCAGAUGAGCUCUGGAGUCCCAGGAGUCUCCUGCUGA